rnacentral:rRNA from 1 species
UACGUAGGGAGCAAGCGUUGUCCGGAAUCACUGGGCGUAAAGCGCACGUAGGCGGAUGUGUCAGUCAGGGGUGAAAUCCCGGGGCUCAACCUCGGAACUGCCUUUGAUACAGCACGUCUCGAGUCCGGAAGAGGUGGGUGGAAUUCCUAGUGUAGAGGUGAAAUUCGUAGAUAUUAGGAAGAACACCGGUGGCGAAGGCGGCCCACUGGUCCGGUACUGACGCUGAGGUGCGAAAGCGUGGGGAGCAAACAGG